AUGAACAACGCAAAAGUAGCUGGAGUGUUAUGCUUCCUAGUGCUUGUGGCUCUCUCUUCUUGUUCGCUCCAUGCACGAGCAGCCAACGACAUAGAUCACUGCCUCCUUGAUAAAAAAAAGGUGAUGCGAGACUGUUGGCAUCACAUCGAAAAGAAACUUGGUGACCAGUACCCGCCACUCCAUAGCGCAUGUUGCAAUACAAUAAGAGAUGCAAAAGACAUCCACUGCGUCUAUGAUCGCUUCACCGCUCACGAACUGACUUUGCUCAGUCUAGCCAAGUUUGCCAUGGCUACACAUGUAUGCGGCAAUGGGUUGCACAUAGACACUCACUGUGCGGGUUAUCGUGUUCCGGAAAUAAAGCUACCACCUCCACCCGCGGCAAGUACCUAG
rnacentral:rRNA from 1 species